GUACAGGAGGCCAUUCUACUCUGUCAUGUGAUCUCCCCUGAGCUAAGAGGAAGCCUGAUUGGUUAUGCUGCCUGGGAGGGACCCUGUGUCAACCAAUCAGAGGCUUUCCCUUACAGGAGGAGGGGGAGACGCAGCAGAUGGAGGAGCAGGUCGGUCUGUGUGUGGAGGAGAAGACGAUCAGAGGUCAAGUCACUUUGCCUCAUGGGUAUAUUUUGCUAAAAAAUGCACUUUGAGUAAGAAAGCGCAUGAAAACUGCAUGUGGUGUGGACUGACCCCACAGUGAGUGUAAUGAGUUCACCUGGGGGAUCUCCUGCACCAGAAGCUUGAUGAGAUGACCUGCUGGAGUGAUCAAACGCCACACCCAAAGCCAGAGGAUUCAUGGGAAAGCUGCAUUAUAAAGUCAUUUCAGAGUUGGUCAGCACACAAGAUGGCUUCCUCCGCUCGGCUAUAUAGGUUCUGAUGAAACAGCAUUACAUACAACAGAACUUUGUAUCUUGCCUUUGGUAUUUUGUCUGUCAGGCCAAGGCGACUGGAUUCAGGGUCACAACAUCUGAAGAGGCAUGGGGCGUGACCCUCUCUUCUCCUCACUGUGAUGACUCCUCCCCUUCCCUCACUCUGCUCUGACUCACAGAGGACCCUGGACCUGCCUGCAGCCCUGUCAAUUACUCAUGGUGUCCAUGACAUGUCCAUGACCACUGGACACUGAAGGACUGCUAUGUGUCCCAGGAGGCAGGGGGACCCCUAGUGGCCACUUUUUUGACUUGCUUUUUUAGUAUGAAAUACGGAAUAUUUUCUGAUAAAAGCAAUUGCAACACCUAUUGUUUUUGCAUGCUUUAUAACAUAUUUUUAAUAUUUCUCUCAGCUGAGAGGUCGAUACAGUAUAAGCCGUCAUACACUAGACAUUUCAGUCCCUGCAGAUAAACAAAAAUGUUUUCAUUCAUUGACAACAACCAGAGAUCUUGAAACGGUGAGGCAUUUACUAAGAUUGGCGGUACUUACUCCAAGCUGAAAAAGGAACAAGUUGGAGUAUGGAGAUCUAUUGGAAAAUAAAGGGGGUAUUUAGCAAGACCAGCAUAUCCAUACACUCGUCUUAGGUAAAGUGCUGCCCCUCUUACCCACACCAGAUUUAUUGAGUGGCAAAGCCUGCAUGGCAGCAUCAAAAAUCUACGUGAGCUGGCAUGGAUUUUUACUGUUACUCAAGGGGGAGGCCAUGCCCCCUUGGCCCCAUGCUGCGUCACAUUACAAUGAUCUAAAGAAGCAAUCAAAGG